AGGCCCCCUGCAAUGGGAGGCUGUGAACCUGGUCAGGCGAGAGAUCGAGCAGCCAUAAGCGGUUACUUUCAUGUGCCGGGGGUU
rnacentral:SRP_RNA from 1 species